UAAUAAAAUCAUCUAUGUCUUAUGCUUACUACCUGAAGGAUUCUAUCUAUCCCCUGAUUGUAUUACUGGAGUGAUAGCUUGAAUCUGGAGGAAAAACGCCUGGAGUAAGACUUUCAAUCAACAUGUGUCCACCUGAAGAUUGAAAAACUGCAUUUCAGAAGUAGUUCUUCCAG